CAGACGUGUGUUCUUCCUUCUAGCUGUUCUCAGGUUGAUGGCAGACACAUCCCCAUCAUAAACACACAGGGGCUCUGGUCCUUGGAGCUGGUUCCUGCCCCCACUAUUGUGCCU